rnacentral:lncRNA from 1 species
GCCCGCCCGCCCGCCGUGGGCGCAAGGCGAAGCUGCCCCGUCUGCCCUCGCCCGAGCCUUCGCUUCGCUUCGCUUCCCCCAGCUCUCCUCCGUCUGUGCCUGCGAUGGCUUCAUCACGGGUCAUUUUUCUGCCUGGCUGCCGCCCUCCCCCCUCAAGCAGGGUCUGCGGUGCAGUGCUGUUCCACAGGAUAGAUUUUACAGGAAAUUUUCCUCUGCACAUCAAAUAUUUGGAGACACACAGGCUUGAAACAAAGAACAGAAC